rnacentral:rRNA from 1 species
AGUGAACGCUGGCGGCAUGCCUAAUACAUGCAAGUCGAACGACAAGACGGGGAGCUUGCGCCUCUGACGUUGGCGAGGGACGGGCGAGUAAGGCGUGCAUAACCUACCUCUAAGUCUGGGAGAACAUCGGGAGACCGGAGAUAAUACCACAUAAUAUAUCGAACCGCAUGAAGCAAUAGUGAAUCACGGCUUUGCUGUCUCAUAUAGAUGGUUCCGGGCCGGAUUAGCUAGUUGGUAAGGUAACGGCCUACCAAGGCAACGAUGCGUAGCCGACCUGAGAGGGUGAUCGGCCACACUGGAACUGAGACGCGGUCCAGACUCCUACGGGAGGCAGCAGUAGGGAAUAUUGCACAAUGGGCGCAAGCCUGACGCAGCCAUGCCGCGUGAGUGAUGAAGGUCUUCGGAUCGUAAAGCUCUGUUAUUAGGGAAGAACAAAAGUGUAUUUAACCCUGCACGUUUUGACGGUACCUAAUGAGAAAGCCCCGGCUAACUUCGUG